UCUAAACUUAAAGUUUAUUGCUUGAUUAGUAUCAGUUAUGAGCUUGAAAUUUAAAGGAUUUGGCGGUAUCCAAGUCUAGUUAGAGGAACCUGCCAUUUAAACGAUAUGCCACGAAUGAUCUUACUUUGUCUUGUCAAACAGUAUGUAUACCGCCAUUAUUAGGUGGUGUAUUAAUAUAGCCAUUAAAAUUAAUUUAUAUUAAGUAUAUUAGGUCAAGGUGCAGCCCAUGACAAAGAUAUCGGUGGGUUACAGUGUGUUAUAUAUAAACGGAUGGACUCUUGAAACGGGGUCUUGAAGGUGGAUUUAAUUGUAUUUCUUUUUUAAUAUGUUAGAUUGAUCAUAGCUCUAGGAUAUGU
rnacentral:rRNA from 1 species